CGAAGGGUGCAAGCGUUACUCGGAAUUACUGGGCGUAAAGCGUGCGUAGGUGGUUCGUUAAGUCUGUCGUGAAAGCCCCGGGCUCAACCUGGGAAUGGCGAUGGAUACUGGCGGGCUAGAGUGCGGUAGAGGAGAGUGGAAUUCCCGGUGUAGCAGUGAAAUGCGUAGAGAUCGGGAGGAACAUCAGUUGCGAAGGCGGCUCUCUGGACCAGCACUGACACUGAGGCACGAAAGCGUGGGGAGCAAACAGGAUUAGAUACCCUGGUAGUCCACGCCCUAAACGAUGCGAACUGGACGUUGGGAGCAACUAGGCUCUCAGUGUCGAAGCUAACGCGUUAAGUUCGCCGCCUGGGGAGUACGGUCGCAAGACUG
rnacentral:rRNA from 1 species